rnacentral:rRNA from 1 species
UACGAAGGGGGCUAGCGUUGUUCGGAAUUAUUGGGCGUAAAGGGUGCGUAGGCGGUUUGACAAGUCUCAUGUGAAAUCUUCGGGCUCAACCCGAAGCCUGCAUGGGAAACUGUCGGGCUUGAGUAUGGGAGAGGUGAGUGGAAUUUCCGGUGUAGCGGUGAAAUGCGUAGAUAUCGGAAGGAACACCUGUGGCGAAAGCGGCUCACUGGACCAUAACUGACGCUGAUGCACGAAAGCUAGGGGAGCAAACAGG